rnacentral:lncRNA from 1 species
UAGAAGUCAGGUCGGAUUAAGCCAUAGUACGGAAAAAACUAUGCUACCUGUGAGCCCCGUCCAAGGACGUUAAAAGAAGUCAGGCCAUCACAAGUGCCAUAGCUUGAGUAAACUAUGCAGCCUGUAGCUCCACCUGAGAAGGUGUAAAAAAUCUGGGAGGCCACAAACCAUGGAAGCUGUACGCAUGGCGUAGUGGACUAGCGGUUAGAGGAGACCCCUCCCUUACAAAUCGCAGCAACAAUGGGGGCCCAAGGUGAGAUGAAGCUGUAGUCUCACUGAAAGGACUAGAGGUUAGAGGAGACCCCCCCGAAACAA